UACGAAGGGGGCGAGCGUUGUUCGGAAUUACUGGGCGUAAAGGGCGCGUAGGCGGCCACUGCAAGUCAGUUGUGAAAUCUCCGGGCUUAACCCGGAAAGGUCAACUGAUACUGCAGGGCUAGAGUGCAGAAGGGGCAACUGGAAUUCUCGGUGUAGCGGUGAAAUGCGUAGAUAUCGAGAGGAACACCUGCGGCGAAGGCGGGUUGCUGGGCUGACACUGACGCUGAUGUGCGAAAGCUAGGGGAGCGAACGGG
rnacentral:rRNA from 1 species